GUGCCAGCCGCCGCGGUAAUACGGAGGGUGCAAGCGUUAAUCGGAAUUACUGGGCGUAAAGCGCACGCAGGCGGUUUGGUAAGUCAGAUGUGAAAGCCCGGGGCUUAACCCCGGAAGUGCAUUUGAUACUGCCAGGCUUGAGUAUGGGAGAGGGAAGUGGAAUUCCUGGUGUAGAGGUGAAAUUCGUAGAUAUCAGGAGGAACACCGGUGGCGAAGGCGGCUUCCUGGACCAAUACUGACGCUGAGGUGCGAAAGCGUGGGGAGCAAACAGGAUUAGAUACCCCAGUAGUCC
rnacentral:rRNA from 1 species